GACGAACGCUGGCGGCGUGCUUAACACAUGCAAGUCGAACGAAGAGCGACGGAAGCUUGCUUCUAUCAAUCUUAGUGGCGAACGGGUGAGUAACGCGUAAUCAACCUGCCCUUCAGAGGGGGACAACAGUUGGAAACGACUGCUAAUACCGCAUACGAUCUAAUCUCGGCAUCGAGGAUGGAUGAAAGGUGGCCUCUACAUGUAAGCUAUCACUGAAGGAGGGGAUUGCGUCUGAUUAGCUAGUUGGAGGGGUAACGGCCCACCAAGGCGAUGAUCAGUAGCCCGUCUGAGAGGAUGAACGGCCACAUUGGGACUGCGACACGGCCCAGACUCCUACGGGAGGCAGCAGUGGGGAAUCUUCCGCAAUGGACGAAAGUCUGACGGAGCAACGCCGCGUGAGUGAUGACGGCCUUCGGGUUGUAAAGCUCUGUUAAUCGGGACGAAAGGCCUUCUUGCGAAUAGUGAGAAGGAUUGACGGUACCGGAAUAGAAAGCCACGGCUAACUACGUG
rnacentral:rRNA from 1 species